rnacentral:tRNA from 1 species
CAAGGUAUAGCUUAACACUAAAGCAUCCGACCUACACCCGGAAGAUCUCAGUACAACUCGAUUACCUUGA